AUUGAACGCUGGCGGCCGUCCUAACACAUGCAAGUCGAGCGGAGCGGCGGACGGGUGAGUAAUGCCUAGGAAUCUUCCUGGUAGUGGGGGAUAACGUCCGGAAACGGGCGCUAAUACCGCAUACUAUCAGAUCAGCCUAGGUCGGAUGAGCUAGUUGGUGGGGUAAAGGCCUACCAAGGCGAAGAUCCGUAACUGGUCUGAGAGGAUGAUCAGUCAAACUGGAACUGAGACACGGUCCAGACUCCUACGGGAGGCAGCAGUGGGGAAUAUUGGACAAUGGGCGACAGCCUGAUCCAGCCAUGCGGCGUGUGUGAAGAAGGGCUUCGGAUUGUGAAGCCCUUUAAGUUGGGAGGCGUUACCAACAGAAUAAGCACCGGCUAACUUCGUGCCAGCAGCCGCGGUAAUUC
rnacentral:rRNA from 1 species